AACGAACGCUGGCGGCAUGCCUAACACAUGCAAGUCGAACGAGACCUUCGGGUCUAGUGGCGCACGGGUGCGUAACGCGUGGGAACCUGCCCUUAGGUUCGGAAUAACUCCCCGAAAGGGGUGCUAAUACCGGAUAAUGUCUUCGGACCAAAGAUUUAUCGCCUUUGGAUGGGCCCGCGUUGGAUUAGCUAGUUGGUAGGGUAAAAGCCUACCAAGGCGACGAUCCAUAGCUGGUCUGAGAGGAUGAUCAGCCACACUGGGACUGAGACACGGCCCAGACUCCUACGGGAGGCAGCAGUGGGGAAUAUUGGACAAUGGGCGAAAGCCUGAUCCAGCAAUGCCGCGUGAGUGAUGAAGGCCUUAGGGUUAUAAAGCUCUUUUACCCGGGAUGAUAAUGACAGUACCGGGAGAAUAAGCUCCGGCUAACUCCGUGC
rnacentral:rRNA from 1 species